GUUCGUCUACUGGGUUUAGGAAUCAAGUUCCCUCCUUCUCUUCUCUGUUUUGUUUCUCCUUUCCCUUUUUCAUGAAAAUGCAUUUUUCAUAUCGCGUCAUACCUUCAAAACGCGUUUUAAUCGUGCUCACUAACCGUUUUUAGACAUCGUGCUCAUGUGAGAGAUCUUCGUUCAGCCAGUAAGUUCUCUCGUGUUCUUCUCCCAAACUCUCUGUCCGAUAUGUCUCCAACUAUUGCAAGUUGUAAGAUGGGGAAGGUUAUUGAUGCUGAUUCCCGUUUAAUGCAGUCUGUAGAGAAAGACUAUGUACUUGUCAAUUCCCAUUUUGCAUCAUUGGCGUCCCCUCUUAUUCGUGCUGGCAGCGUAGAAGCCAUUGCUGGACCUUCCAAACCCUAUAGAGUCACGCAGUCAGUUGCGAUGUGAUGAUCGUUCACACGUGAUGCUAUCACGACAUGAAGAUGAACACAUCCAACGACAUCAUGACACAGUCGUCUUCGUCGAUAGCGACUUAGUCGUCGUUACUCAGGGGAAUGUUGGCAUUUUGGGAUGAGUAAUUGACCUUGGCAUUCAAUUUCACAUGU